rnacentral:rRNA from 1 species
CGGGACGGGUGAGUAAUGCUUGGGAAUCUAGCUUAUGGAGGGGGAUAACUACGGGAAACUGUAGCUAAUACCGCGUAGAAUCGGGAGAUGAAAGUGUGGGACCUUCGGGCCACAUGCCAUAGGGUGAGCCCAAGUGGGAUUAGGUAGUUGGUGAGGUAAAGGCUCACCAAGCCGACGAUCUCUAGCUGGUCUGAGAGGAUGACCAGCCACACUGGGACUGAGACACGGCCCAG